UUUACGAGCUCUUCUAAACCCUGAGGCAAAACAAACCUCGUAAGCAGCCUGUUCCACAUUCUUGUGAUCUCAUUGUUGUCCACAUUUUUCCACUCCCUGACUGUGAUGUCAAGAUGGUCUCUAACUAAGAAACCGAGUGUGUUACGCCACUUAGGUAAGGUCUCCGCUGGAGCUAAGGGUUGUCCAGUCGCACUGACAUCUGUAACUCUAUAGGUUACUUUUGGGAACUGAUUCAAUCCUCUUUCACCUCGUUUCCUUUUGUU
rnacentral:lncRNA from 1 species